AACGAACGCUGGCGGCAGGCCUAACACAUGCAAGUCGAGCGAGACCUUCGGGUCUAGCGGCGGACGGGUGAGUAACGCGUGGGAACGUGCCCUUUUCUACGGAAUAGUCUCGGGAAACUGAGCGUAAUACCGUAUACGCCCUUUGGGGGAAAGAUUUAUCGGAGAAGGAUCGGCCCGCGUUGGAUUAGGUAGUUGGUGGGGUAAUGGCCUACCAAGCCUACGAUCCAUAGCUGGUUUGAGAGGAUGAUCAGCCACACUGGGACUGAGACACGGCCCAGACUCCUACGGGAGGCAGCAGUGGGGAAUCUUAGACAAUGGGGGCAACCCUGAUCUAGCCAUGCCGCGUGAGUGAUGAAGGCCUUAGGGUUGUAAAGCUCUUUCAGCUGGGAAGAUAAUGACGGUACCAGCAGAAGAAGCCCCGGCUAACUCCGUG
rnacentral:rRNA from 1 species